UGCCAGCCGCCGCGGUAAUACGUAGGGAGCAAGCGUUGUUCGGAAUCACUGGGCAUAAAGCGCACGUAGGCGGUUUUGUAAGUCAGAUGUGAAAGCCCCUGGCUCAACCAGGGAACUGCAUUUGAAACUACCAGACUUGAGGGCGGCAGAGGAGAGUGGAACUCGUGGUGGAGCGGUGAAAUGCGUAGAUAUCACGAGGAACACCGGUGGCGAAAGCGACUCUCUGGUCCAUUUCUGACGCUGAGGUGCGAAAGCCAGGGUAGCGAACGGGAUUAGAUA
rnacentral:rRNA from 1 species